CUCUUUAGUGCAGAAAAUGAGCACUUCUCCUUUUCGCUCCAGUCUCCUCAGCUCAUCUCAGUAACUGGUCCACGUGGUCUUUGGAGAGCCAAUUGCUUGGAACACAGAGCACACUGAUGAGCUUCCCAGUUGCAAGGUUUCUAUUGAUGAGACUUUUAGGAGGGGAACCUGGGGAAGGGGUCGAGCAGACAAGCAGAGGAAUACCUGCCCAGCCACCCUGCCCAUUCCUGUGGUUCCUGUGAUCAGUGAUGUGAAGCUGCAGCAAAUAAAGCAAAUGACCACAAGUGGAAGGAAUCGCUCAUCUGCAGCCAGGAGAGUUUCUUAUGAAGACCUGGCUGCUAAGAGCUUCACAGGUUUCUAGGUCAAUCCUAAUAUUUGUUCGUUGCUAAACUGAGGGAUUUUUUCUUCACUUUUGUCUUUGAGUAUAUGAGUACUCAUGGAUGUAUGCUCUCUAAUCUAGGGAAAUAUGGGUAUGACCAAUGACCACUCCAACUCUGAAGUAGGGAGUAGACAACUACUGCAUGUUCAGUGAACUCUGGAAUGUAGCAUCCUUAUUGCAUUAAAGAAGAUACUAUUCUAACAAAAUAAUCCAAG
rnacentral:lncRNA from 1 species